rnacentral:rRNA from 1 species
UACGGAGGGUGCGAGCGUUGUCCGGAAUCAUUGGGCGUAAAGGGCGCGUAGGUGGCGGCUUAAGCGUGCGGUGAAAGCUCGGGGCUCAACCCCCGAGUCGGCCGUGCGAACUGAGUCGCUUGAGCACUGUAGAGGCAGGCGGAAUUCCGGGGUGUAGCGGUGGAAUGCGUAGAGAUCCGGAAGAACACCGGUGGCGAAGGCGGCCUGCUGGGCAGUAGCUGACACUGAGGCGCGACAGCGUGGGGAGCAAACAGG